rnacentral:rRNA from 1 species
AUUGAACGCUGGCGGCAUGCUUUACACAUGCAAGUCGGACGGCAGCGCGGGCUUCGGCCUGGCGGCGAGUGGCGAACGGGUGAGUAAUGCAUCGGAACGUGCCCAGUAGUGGGGGAUAGCCCGGCGAAAGCCGGAUUAAUACCGCAUACGACCUGAGGGUGAAAGCGGGGGACCGAAAGGCCUCGCGCUAUUGGAGCGGCCGAUGUCGGAUUAGCUAGUUGGUGGGGUAAAGGCUUACCAAGGCGACGAUCCGUAGCUGGUCUGAGAGGACGACCAGCCACACUGGGACUGAGACACGGCCCAGACUCCUACGGGAGGCAGCAGUGGGGAAUUUUGGACAAUGGGGGCAACCCUGAUCCAGCCAUGCCGCGUGCGGGAAGAAGGCCUUCGGGUUGUAAACCGCUUUUGUUCGGGAAGAAAUCCUCUGGGCUAAUACCCCGGGGGGAUGACGGUACCGGAAGAAUAAGCACCGGCUAACUACGU